UACGUAGGGUGCGAGCGUUGUCCGGAAUUAUUGGGCGUAAAGAGCUCGUAGGCGGUUUGUCACGUCUGCUGUGAAAUCCCGAGGCUCAACCUCGGGCCUGCAGUGGGUACGGGCAGACUGGAGUGCGGUAGGGGAGAAUGGAAUUCCUGGUGUAGCGGUGGAAUGCGCAGAUAUCAGGAGGAACACCGAUGGCGAAGGCAGUUCUCUGGGCCGAUACUGACGCUGAGGAGCGAAAGCUAGGGGAGCAAACGGG
rnacentral:rRNA from 1 species